GCUGCCGCGCAGGCUGGGCUUGGGGGCGGGAGCCAGGCCCACGUGGGGCGUGAGGGCCGCGGGUGGAGGGCGAGGCUGACAGGGAGUGAGGGAGGAAGGUGGAGGGCGGUGAUCAGAGGGCGCGGCUGACAGGGGGAGAGGGCGGUGAGAUCUACAGGGGAACUCAGGGCGGAUGUCUGCCGGGUCCGCGUUGGGCUUUCUGGUAGCUUCUCCGCGAAGCGCGCUUGUUCCUGAGGCGGUGCCUGCCUGUGUCGUCGUCCCUGUUUGUUCUUCUUCAAACGUCAGGAUUUCUCCGUGUUUCCCAGACCGUAACGUUCCAAAGGUGGAAACACAGAUGACAGAUUUUUGGUCUUUUCGUCAUUUCCUAUGUUUGGAAUAGUUCACCAGUGAAGUCAUCUCAACCAGCACAGGGCCUUGACUCCUAACAACAAUCACACGAACUUGGAAGAGGAGCCUUCCCCAGCUGAACCUUCACUUGAGACCUCAUCCUUGGCCAUCAUCUACAUCUGGAUUCAUGAUACAGAGAAACCUGAGUACUGAUGACACUAGCAGUCCAGCCUGCAUGGAUGCUGACAUGGAUGCUGUCUCCCAUUCUUACCACUGGAUGUGAAGAAAUGCUAGAUGCAAUCCAUCCAAUCUGUACUCGACUCUCAAUUGCAUCUUCUCAACUCACAGUGACUUCCAAAGUCCAUGACACACCACAGCCUGGAACAUCUCCCAAGGCUUUGAAUAACACACCAGUGAAGUCAUCUUGACCUGGACAGAAAUUGAAUCCUCCCAAGAAUCCCAGGAGCUUGGAAGGGGAUCCUUCCCCAGAUGAGCCUUCCCUUGAAAUCUCUGCCAGGCAUCUGACCUAGAGAAACUGUCAGAGAGGUUAAUCCUAAGAACACUUACAUGAGCUUGGAAGGAGACCCUUCCCCAGCUGAGCCUUAGCCUGGGCCAUCACCUACAUCUGGACUGAAGACCUAGAGAAACUACUCCAUCAGGAAUUGUUUGGGACCGUGCAUUCUGUUGACACUCACUUUGUGGAAUUAUGUUGCCCACUGCCAACCCUAAAGCCACCAAGGUAGCAGAAUCCAUACUGACAUCUCAAGAAGUAAGCAUGAUUUUCACCUCUGUGGUCCAUUUCGGAGUCUGAGCUGACUUUCUACAGGACAGGGUUUCAUAUAAAUCAUCAGUGAAGUCUUCUCAACCAGGUCAAUCACGAGAACUUAGAAGAUGAUUCCUCCCCAGCUGAUCCUCAGGUGAGACCUCAGCCUUGGCCAUCAUCUACAUCUGAAUUCCUGACUCAGAGAAACUGGUCUGAAGCCACGCAGGCUGGAGUGCAGUGGCACAAUUAU
rnacentral:lncRNA from 1 species